ensembl:lncRNA
CGGGAGCCAGGCGGGGAAGGCGGCUGACGGGAAUUGUAGUUUCCAGCCUUUAUGAAGGCGAAGCCAGAGUGUCGCCGUGGUUACCGAACGACGCCAGUGGCUGCUUGCCUGGCAUUUGAUAGCAAGAUGGCGACUAGUGCUUCGUCUGUAUUCCAAACACGGGGCAAACAGAGAACUCAGGGUCCUUGGACCUCCCUAACUGUGAUUUUAGGGAACUGGACCCCAAGUUUCGUGCAUCGGGCGUCUGCGGAAGGACUGAGAACUGGGGAGUCUGAGCCCAGAGUGCAUGUGGAAACAGCCUAAACACCAACGCAAGAAUUCCAAGUCCUCUCAUUUCUGAAGAGGCUUUUCUCCCCCAGAGCAAGUCAGGGGCAGACAGAACUCGGUCCAGGAAAUUCCUGAGUUUGGCACUCAGAAAGUAUAGGCCGCCAUUGCUGACCUGAGAUCUGAGUCCUGUGUUGAGUCGAUGAAAUAUAAAUGGCGAGUGAAGCCUAGUGGUGCACGUCUGCGAUCCUAGCUACUCCACGAAGGCUGAAUCAGGAUGACGACAGGUUCAAAGCCAGACCAGCCAAGUUAGUAUGACGGGAUGUAGCCCAGCAUGCAUAAGGACCUAAAUUCAAUCUUCAAUGCUGAGACCACAACAAAACAAAUACCCAAGGAUUCCAUGAUAGCCUUAAUUCUUGGGUCAGGAGUCAGAACUUGGGAAACUUUUUUUGUUUUGUUUUGUAUUUGAUUUGGCAGGAAUGAUAGUGACUUAGUUGAGAGCUAAAAAGAAGACAUUUUUUCCCUUCCCUUCCUAAUUCUCGUAGAUAUAUAAAAGUGAAUGUCAAUGACACACGACUUUAAUCCAGGUGAAUCUCUGAGUUUGAGGCCAGCCUGGUCUACAGAGCUAGUUCCAGGACAGCCAGGGCUACACAGAGAAACCCUGUCUCAAAAAGAAGGAAAAAAACAAACAAACAAAACAAAAACAAAAAUGCUGAUUUCAUCUGUACUUACUCAAAAGAAGACAUUAUUCCCAUUGAACUGUGAUCCAGAGAGGUUCCUUCAGUGGGUGCUCCCAUUAUCACAGACCACAAAGCCACCCUUGUCUGACUAGAAGAGCCAGAUCCCUGCAGAGCCACUCUGUGGGGUUCAGAUGGGUGACAUAAAGAUAGGGCCACCAGAAAGAAUAACAGACAACAUUUGAUGGUGUAGUCUUGGAACAAAAUCAAGGCCAGCAUGACUUUCUGGGAAGAAUGUGUGGCCCUAGACCAGACUAGAGGACAGCAGUAGGGCUCUUAUAAUAAACCAUUAUUCAGCUGGCACAAGCUGGUCAGGUGAGCCAGCUAACAGCCUUUCUAUGUGGGGUCUGUGCUCACACUUCAUGGACUAUAAAUAUCUUGCCUUCCACCCCAGCUCACAGGCCAAGUUCAGACAUCCAUGCUUUAUCCUGGGGGCUGUGGGAAAGUACUGGGAAAUGUUAAGCAGGGCUGCAGCACGGUCAGAUUUGUAUUUUCAGGAAAUCACUCAGAGCCCAGGGUGGAGAAUAGAUUAGAAAGGAGCACAGCUGCAGGCUGGGGAAAGGAUUAUGAGUUUGCAGAAAUCUUCCUGGGAGAGAUGGUGGCAGCCCGAACGAGGGAGGCGGUGAGAACCAAAAGGAGUAGAUGGAUUCCAGAGACAUUUCAGAGAAAGAAUCAGUGGGACUGGGUGAUUGAUUACAUAUGUCACGGACGAUGUCAAAGGGAUGUGUCAAAGAUGACUUCUAGGUACCAGGCUCAGGAAACAGGAUGAAUGAGGGGUGCCACUUUUUGAGACAGGGAGCACAAUAGAAGGAGCAGGUGGUAGGAGGAUAAUCUGUUCUUUUCUGGACAAAUUGCUUCAAGGUGCCUGUGAGGCUUCUGUGAGGGUGAGGACUCAGGCGCUGGGGAGGUCCUUAGCUGUUUGGAACCGAAACAAGAGAAAGGUUCCCUGCCACAGACGGGGGUCUCACGUAUUGGUGGCAACUGAAAGGGAGAAAGCACCCAGAGAGAGAGCACAGCAGGUGAGAUGAAGAGCAGGAUGGAGUCCAGGAGAACCGUACUUUCUCAGGACAAGCAGAGGAAGACAGAAGAGAGAACACUGACGGAAGAUCUGGGCAGGGGCCAGGUGCCCUGAGGCAGUGCGCUGAGGAGGGAGGGAAGGAAAUGGAGAGCGUUCAGUCUCUUACAGAAUCUGUGGCUCAAAGGCCAGAAAACCUAGCAGUGACUAGAGGUAGAAGUUGAGUGGAGAAUCCUCGGGAAAAUAUUCUUUGGUUUGAAAAACGAAAGACUUUAGCGCAGAGGAAUUUAAAAAGGCAUGACAGAGACAGGACACAAAAAAAUUAAAAAAAAAAAAGGCAUGACAAGUAAAUAAAAUGAAUGAAGCCCGAUUAGAUCCUGGACUAACAUACCCGUUUAUUCAUAUGUAUGUGUGCACCUGUGUUCAAGGGAGUUCAUACAUGUGCGCGCGUGUGUGUGUGUGUGUGCGCGCGCGCGCGCACACACACACACACACACACACACACACAAGUGCUUAAAACAAUAAUAAACAUUUAUCUCAUCUGUGUCAGAAAUUCAAAGCCAGCUUACCGGAGGGUUAUAGUCAAUGUUAAAUUGGAGCUGGGUCAUCCGUAGGCUUGACUGGGCCAGGCCAGC